rnacentral:ncRNA from 1 species
AUAAACACAAAGAAGAGAAGAAGUAACAAGGAAAGAUUUUACAGAGAGGCUGUCAUUGGUGAAAGCAGUCAAAUCAAAACUUGCGAAAUGCAUCUCGGAGUGGCUUUAGCGAUAGGUAGCUGAAGACGGAUCACAGACGUUACCUGUAUGUCAAAGGCAGGAAUGCAAACAAAAGUGGGACCACGUUCAAGCGUCUUUUGG